ACCUGGGCCGCCCUGCCUGGCCCUGGCACGGGCGCUCGACGAGCCCGACGCGCAGCCCGAGGAGCUGCUGGCGCUGCUGCGCGAGGCCGUGGAGGCGCAGGAGAGCCGGACCCAGGAGGUGCUCUCGGGCCAGGGGGCGGAGCGACACCUGCAGGG